AUACAUGGAUCUCUAUACAACAAAUCAAUUACAUGUGCUUGACUGUCCACUUUAUUGAUAAUAAUUGGAAAUUACACAAAAGAAUUCUGAAUUUUUGUCCUAUUUCUAAUCAUAAGUAGGGGUGAGCAAAGACCUAGGGUACCCAGAACCGGUUAGGACCCAUCGGAUCCGGACCCAGAACUAGUCUCACCGGUUCCGGGACCGGGUCCAAAAUGUCGGACUCGGUUGUAACCGGUUCCGGGUCCGGGUCCUGAAAUUUCAGACCCAGUACCCACUAGGUACCCGGUUCAGUUAUAAAUUUUAAGUUUUUUUUAAGCCCAUACCCCAUAUAUAUAAACUUAUACAGCCCUAAAAAAUGCAAACCCUAACAUUUACCAGCCGCCUCCUUCCUCUAUCCUCUAAUCCUCUCUGCUUUCUCUCUCUUCUUUCCCUUCUCUUUAUCUUCUUCUCUAUUUCUCUAUCUUCUUCUUAUUACCCUUUUCACCCCUCUUUCUCUCUCCUCUAUCAGUCAAUCUUACCACCAAAUCAAAGAUAAUUCAUUCAUUUCUCCCAAAAAAAAAUAAAGAAGUAAACCAAUUCCUUAGCAAAAUCCUACAGAAGUUGUAGAACCUACAAAGAAAUAAAGAAGUAAACCAAUCACUUAUCAGAAAUUCUGGAGAAUUUUCAGAAAUGGCAACGCCAUUAACGGGAAUUGGACAUAGAGAGGAGGUGGAGUUGCGAUAAUGGCAGGUCUUGUGAACGUUGUAGAUCCUUCACCUCCGAGUUCGUCGUCUUCAUCCAAAGCUUCGUUGAAAAAUUCAGCUCAGAAAUCACCGAUUUUGACUUUUUUUUAUUUUAUUUUUUUAUUUAAUGGCUAGAAACGCAACAUAUCAAACUGGGUACCCGUUUUGGAACCGGUUCCCAGCGGUUCUGGUUUCAGAUCUCAAAUGUUGGGACCCGGUUGUUACCAGUUCCGGGUCCGGUUCCAAAAUAUUAGACCCGGUACUAACCGAUUCCGGGUUCGGGUCUUUAGUUUUACACCGGGUACCCAGUAGUGUUCACCCCUAGUCAUCAGGGUGAUGAUAUUGGCAAAGAAAUUGAAAAGUGUUUGCUUGAUUGGGGGCUUGAAAAAGUCAUGUGCAUAACUGUUGACAAUGCUAGCUCAAAUGAUACUGCAAUUGGGUAUAUGAUAAGGAAAAUGAAUGGAUGGAAAAUUGGGGUUCUUAAGGGUCGUUUCAUUCACAUGCGUUGUGUUGCACACAUUGUCAAUUUGGUUGUUUCUGAUGGGUUGAAAAUAAUUAAUGAGUCGGUUCAAUGUGUUAGGCAUGCAGUUAAGUUUAUCAAACAAUCUCCUGCUAGGUUGCAAAGGCUUAAAAAAUGUGUCUUAGAUGAAAAAAUCAACACAAAAAGGGGAUUGUGCCUACUAGGUGGAACUCUACCUAUUUGAUGUUGAAUGCUGCUAUUGAACUUUUUGAGAGGUAUUCUGAGGAAGACCCUCACUAUGUAAUUGAUUUGAAUGAGAUGGAUGGUAAGGGUAGCCCUGAUUCUGAUGAUUGGAAUAAUGUGAGAAGAUUUUCUGAAUUUCUACAAGCCUUUUAUGACUGACCUUGCAUGUUUCUGGCUCUCUAUAUGUCACUUUGAAUUUGUUUUUUCAUGAAUUGGUGAGUGUUGCUGUACUUUUGAAAGAUUUGGUUUCAAGUGAUGAUCUGGAUAUGUGUCUUAUUGCUUGUAGAAUGAAAGAAAAAUAUGAAAAGUAUUGGGGUGAUCCGGGAAAAAUAAACCUCCUGAUUUUUAUUGAUAUUGUCCUUGAUCCUUAUUAUAAGCUUGAUUAUGUUGAGUGGAUGAUAACUGAAAUUUAUGAUCCUAUUGUUGCAUCAAAGUUGGUUAAAAAUGUGAAGGAAGCUUUGAAUGCUUUGUAUGAGGAGUAUAGUGUUUCUUCAUCUAAUGAUGUGAAUAGGGAGGAAGUGUCUUCAAGUAAGGAUGACAAAACUCCAUUGUCUCCCAAAUAUAAGAAGGAUUGAAGUCUUAAAGAGUAAGUAUAAGAAACACAAGUGUGAGAGAGAUGGAGAUGCAAAAAUAGAGUUAGACAAAUAUUUGGAGGAGGAUACGGCGGAUGAUAUUGAUGAAUUUGACAUUUUGAGCUGGUGGAAAUUCAAUUGUUCAAGGUUUCCUACUGUGGGGAGAAUUUCCCGUGAUGUUCUUGUUGUCCCUGUUUCUACAGUAGCUUCUGAGAGUGCAUUAACUCCCCGAGUUGUAGAAGGUCUUGUUUGUGCUCAAAAUUAGUUACGUGCUUCAUCAUUUCCAAGUAUUGAAGAAUGUUUAGAGGAAGUUGAGCUUCUUGAAGAACGUAAUAUAUAAGAACAUCUAAUCAAAGUUACUUAUUUUCAUUAUGUAUAUAUAUUAACUUGGUUAUUUUUGUUAUGAAUUAUGAUAGACUUGAAGAAUAUGGAAAUUGGUGAUGCUAAUAUUGAUGAAGUGCUUGAAAUAUUAGACUGAUGUGGCUCUGCUGCUACUCUUUGCUCA